rnacentral:rRNA from 1 species
GACGAACGCUGGCGGCGUGCUUAACACAUGCAAGUCGAACGAAGAGCGAUGGAAGCUUGCUUCUAUCAAUCUUAGUGGCGAACGGGUGAGUAACGCGUAAUCAACCUGCCCUUCAGAGGGGGACAGCAGUUGGAAACGACCGCUAAUACCGCAUACGAUCUAACCUCGGCAUCGAGGAAAGAUGAAAGGCGGCCUCUAUGUAUAAGCUAUCACUGAAGGAGGGGAUUGCGCCUGAUUAGCUAGUUGGAGGGGUAACGGCCCACCAAGGCGAUGAUCAGUAGCCGGUCUGAGAGGAUGAACGGCCACAUUGGGACUGAGACACGGCCCAGACUCCUACGGGAGGCAGCAGUGGGGAAUCUUCCGCAAUGGACGAAAGUCUGACGGAGCAACGCCGCGUGAGUGAUGACGGCCUUCGGGUUGUAAAGCUCUGUUAAUCGGGACGAAAGGCCUUCUUGCGAAUAGUAGAAGGAUGACGGACCGGAUAGAAGCC